CCCAACUAUCCCUAUUAAUCAUUACAUCGAUCCUAGAAACCAACAAAAUAGAAUUGGAUGUCCUAUUUUAUUAUUCUAUGCUAAUGUAUUCAAGCGUGAGCCUGCUUUAAACACUCUAAUUUUUACAAAGUAACAGUCCUAAUUCCCCGUGACACCAAAUUAAUGGCAUUACGGUUCUUUAAAAGAUGAGAAAUUAAUAAUAUCAGUACAUACCAACGGCAUGACCAAAACAUUGAUUUCGAAAUUCAACUACGAGCUUUUUAACUGCAACAACUUUAAUAUACGCUAUUGGAGCUAGAAUUACUGUGGCUGCUAGCACCAGACUUGCCCUCCAA
rnacentral:misc_RNA from 2 species